UACGUAGGUGGCAAGCGUUGUCCGGAUUUACUGGGCGUAAAGCGCGCGUAGGCGGCUUUUUAAGUCUAUGGUGAAAUCUCCUGGCUUAACCAGGAUGGGUCUGUAGAUACUGGAAGGCUUGAGUGUCGCAGAGGAAAGUGGAAUUCCCGGUGGAGUGGUGAAAUGCGUAGAUAUCGGGAGGAACACCAGAGGCGUAAGCGGCUUUCUAGGCGAUUACUGACGCUGAGGCGCGAAAGUGUGGGGAGCAAACCGGAUUAGAUACCCGGGUAGUCCACGCCGUAAACGAUGGGCACUAGGUGUCAUGGGUAUCGACCCCCGUGGUGCCGUAGCUAACGCAUUAAGUGCCCCGCCUGGGGAGUACGGCCGCAAGGCUAAA
rnacentral:rRNA from 1 species